AUUGAACGCUGGCGGCAUGCCUUACACAUGCAAGUCGAACGGUAACAGGUCUUCGGAUGCUGACGAGUGGCGAACGGAUGGGUAAUACAUCGGAACGUGCCUAGUAGUGGGGGAUAACUACUCGAAAGAGUGGCUAAUACCGCAUGAGAUCUACGGAUGAAAGCAGGGGAUCGCAAGACCUUGUGCUACUAGAGCGGCCGAUGGCAGAUUAGGUAGUUGGUGGGAUAAAAGCUUACCAAGCCGACGAUCUGUAGCUGGUCUGAGAGGACGAUCAGCCACACUGGGACUGAGACACGGCCCAGACUCCUACGGGAGGCAGCAGUGGGGAAUUUUGGACAAUGGGCGCAAGCCUGAUCCAGCAAUGCCGCGUGCAGGAUGAAGGCCUUCGGGUUGUAAACUGCUUUUGUACGGAACGAAAAGCCCUGGGUUAAUACCCUGGGGUCAUGACGGUACCGUAAGAAUAAGCACCGGCUAACUACGUGCCAGCAGCCGCGGUAACAC
rnacentral:rRNA from 1 species